CAGAGAAUAGUUUAAGAAAAAUAUUAAUUUUGGAGAUUAAUGAUAGAAUAUUUAUUUUUUCUCUGA
rnacentral:tRNA from 1 species